UGUUUAGCACCCAAGACAGAAAAAAAAACCUUUAAAAAAAAUAAAACCACAGUAGUUAAAUAUAAAGUGCAUUGAAGUGAAUGUGAGUUUUGUCUUACUCCAAGUGCAUUAAAGUCAGUGGGAGUUUUUUUUCUUUAGUUGUUUUUUUCUUUCCAAAUGCAUUAAAGUUAAUGAGCAUUUUUUCUCAAGUUUUUUGUGGAUAAUUUCUACAGCGGUUUCAUGAAAAAAAAUUCAGGCGGCAAAACAUGAAAUUUUGCCAGAAAACCAUGCCUGGGGAAAAAUGUGCUCAUCAAUAUUAGGAACAUGACGACAAAACUACUGUAGGCAACUGCUGGCAGAUUUUAUACAGAGGUACUGUUGGCAGAAUUAUUAGAUCUGAAAACAAAGUGUAAUAUCAAACAAAGUGAUGUGAUGUUUGGGACUAAAAUGGUUUAUUUCACUUUAUUUUUGUAUUUGCAUGGAGGGAUUAUUUGCUGGUACUCAAGCAUCUGUGUUUGUUUCCUGUCUAGCCAACCAUCAGCUCCCAGUUCUGCUUUACACAAAUAACCAAGAGAUACAUUGGAUUAGUACCAUCAUCUUACAAGGCAGAGUAAGAUCAGUUACAGUACCCUGAAAAGGCUCGUCAUGACGUAUCCAAACAGAGGCAACUCCCCUUUUAAGUGCGGGACCAAUAUACCUGCUAAUAUGGGACAUUGUUCUCUAUUACAUGUCCCCUGCUAAAUAAAUCUUCUCAAUUACCAU